rnacentral:ncRNA from 1 species
CUAACGUGCCCCCGUCGCGGUCAAUCCCGCGACCGGGUUUGACGACCUGAGCA